rnacentral:rRNA from 1 species
UUACGGGAGGCAGCAGUGGGGAAUCUUGCGCAAUGGGCGAAAGCCUGACGCAGCAACGCCGCGUGUGUGAUGAAGGUCUUCGGAUCGUAAAGCACUGUCGCGAGGGACGAAUAAGGGGCGGGUUAACAUCCCGUUCCGAUGACGGUACCUCGAGAGGAAGCACCGGCUAACUCUGUGCCAGCAGCCGCGGUAAUACAGAGGGUGCGAGCGUUGUUCGGAAUUAUUGGGCGUAAAGCGCGUGUAGGCGGCCUUGCAAGUUGGGUGUGAAAGCCCUCGGCUUAACCGAGGAAGUGCGCCCAAAACUACGAGGCUUGAGUGCCGGAGAGGGUGGCGGAAUUCCCGGUGUAGAGGUGAAAUUCGUAGAUAUCGGGAGGAACACCAGUGGCGAAGGCGGCCACCUGGACGGUAACUGACGCUGAGACGCGAAAGCGUGGGGAGCAAACAGGAUUAGAUACCCCGGU